AAAUGUUAUAUUAUAAAAUAACAUGAGGGACAUUGAGGCAGCUCCACGCAAGGACAAAAUGGACAGAAGCAACUGGGCCUAAGGUUGUUAAAAUCAUAUCAUGAGCGUAGGAGGAGCCACACGCAAGGACAACAUGGACAGAAGUAGCCGGUGAGCAUUUUGCACCACUACUUUUUAAGGGUCUAAGACUGUCAUAAUCUCAUGAGGGAUGCAGAAAGAGUCCUACGUGAGGACAAUACGGCCAGAAAUAAUCGGAGAGCAUUUUGAACCCGUUAUUUUUAAAAUCUUCUUGUUUUUACUUUUAUUUUAAUUAAACAAUAUUGAAAGCUUAGUUUCUCCCUUACUAUAGGGUCUAAGACUGUCAUAAUCUCAUGAGGGAUGUA